UGCCAGCAGCCGCGGUAAUACGGAGGGUCCAAGCGUUAUCCGGAUUUAUUGGGUUUAAAGGGUCCGUAGGCGGGAAAAUAAGUCAGUGGUGAAAGCCUGCAGCUCAACUGCAGAACUGCCAUUGAAACUGUUUUUCUUGAAUACAGAUGAAGUGGGCGGAAUAUAUCAUGUAGCGGUGAAAUGCAUAGAUAUGAUAUAGAACACCGAUUGCGAAGGCAGCUCACUAAACUAUUAUUGACGCUGAGGUGCGAAAGUGUGGGGAGCAAACAGGAUUAGAUA
rnacentral:rRNA from 1 species